UACAGUCAUAUCACAUGGAAACACCGGUUCUCGUGCGAUCACCGUGGUUAAGCAACGUUGAGUUUGGCCAGUACUUACAUAGGUGACCGCGUGAGAAUACCGGGUGCUGUAA